CCUACGGGAGGCAGCAGUGGGGGAUAUUGCACAAUGGGGGAAACCCUGAUGCAGCGACGCCGCGUGGGUGAAGAAGCGCCUCGGCGCGUAAAGCCCUGUCAGCAGGGGAGAAAAUGACGGUACCUGAAGAAUAAGCCCCGUCUAACUCCGUGCCAGCAGCCGCGGUAAUACGUAGGGGGCAAGCGUUAUCCGGAUUUACUGGGUGUAAAGGGGGCGCAGACGGCGAUGCAAGCCAGGAGUGAAAGCCCGGGGCCCAACCCCGGGACUGCACUGGGAACUGCGUGGCUAGAGUGCAGGAGGGGCAGGCGGAAUUCCUGGUGUAGCGGUGAAAUGCGUAGAUAUCAGGAGGAACACCGGUGGCGAAGGCGGCCUGCUGGACUGCAACUGACGUUGAGGCCCGAAAGCGUGGGGAGCAAACAGGAUUAGAUACCCGAGUAGUC
rnacentral:rRNA from 1 species